AUUGAACGCUGGCGGCAGGCCUAACACAUGCAAGUCGAGCGGAUGAAGGGAGCUUCCUCCUGGUUUGCUCAGCGGACGGGUACGGGAGGCCUAGGAAUCUGCCAGGGAGUGGUGGAUAGCGUCCGGAACCGGACACUGAUACCGCAUACGCACUGCGUGAGAAGAUGAAGGAUCUUCGGCCCUCACGCUCUCGCAUGCGCCUAGGUCGGAUUAGCUAGUUGGUGGGGUAAAGGCCUACCUAGGCGACGAUCCGUAACUGGUCUGAGAGGAUGAGCAGCCACACUGGAACUGAGACACGGUCCAGACUCCUACGGGAGGCAGCAGUGGGGAAUAUUGCACAAUGGGCGAAAGCCUGAUCCAGCCAUGCCGCGUGUGUGAAGAAGGUCUUCGGAUUGUAAAGCACUUUAAGCUGGGAGGAAGGGAAGUAAGUUAAUACCUUGCUGUAUUGACGUUACCAACAGAAGAAGCACCGGCUAACUUCGUG
rnacentral:rRNA from 1 species